CGGAGGAUCCGAGCGUUAUCCGGAUUUAUUGGGUUUAAAGGGUGCGUAGGCGGUUUGAUAAGUUAGAGGUGAAAUGUCGGGGCUCAACCCCGAAACUGCCUCUAAUACUGUUGGACUAGAGAAUAGUUGCGGUAGGCGGAAUGUAUGGUGUAGCGGUGAAAUGCUUAGAGAUCAUACAGAACACCGAUUGCGAAGGCAGCUUACCAAACUAUAUCUGACGUUGAGGCACGAAAGCGUGGGUAGCAAA
rnacentral:rRNA from 1 species